CCUACGGGCGGCAGCAGUGAGGAAUAUUGGUCAAUGGACGAGAGUCUGAACCAGCCAAGUAGCGUGAAGGAUGACUUCCCUAUGGGUUGUAAACUUCUUUUAUAUGGGAAUAAAACGUUCCACGUGUGGGAUUUUGUAUGUACCAUAUGAAUAAGGAUCGGCUAACUCCGUGCCAGCAGCCGCGGUAAUACGGAGGAUCCGAGCGUUAUCCGGAUUUAUUGGGUUUAAAGGGAGCGUAGGUGGAUUGUUAAGUCAGUUGUGAAAGUUUGCGGCUCAACCGUAAAAUUGCAGUUGAAACUGGCAGUCUUGAGUACAGUAGAGGUGGGCGGAAUUCGUGGUGUAGCGGUGAAAUGCUUAGAUAUCACGAAGAACUCCGAUUGCGAAGGCAGUUCACUGGACUGCAACUGACACUGAGGCUCGAAAGUGUGGGUAUCAAACAGGAUUAGAUACCCUAGUAGUC
rnacentral:rRNA from 1 species